rnacentral:lncRNA from 1 species
GGACUCUAUAUCUCUAGCAGCAUUUACUUGCAAUUCCAAAAGAAACACCAUGGAGAAGGGUUUGUACCAUGAAUUUAACCUUAUCUCAUUUAUUAAUGCAUUUUUAAAGUGUCCUAGUUUGUCACAUGUCAGAAUCACCAUAAGACUUCAUCAAAACUGUGAAUUUAUAAUCCCCAUGUCAGAUCCACUAGGUGGAGCUCUAUAAUUUCCAUCUUAAACAGGCUGCCUGGGUGAUUCUGAUUCAUAAUAAAGGCUAAUCACCACUGAUUUAUAUAUUCAUUAUGAUCUCCAUUGUAUUAACUGUAAACCAUAAGGUAAGCAGAAAAAAGAAUUACACUGUCUCUUUUUCGGUGGGGAAGGUGAAGUCUUUUCUAAGUUCUAAAACAAAGGUUAAAAGUAAAAAUCCAUAAAGUCAAGGUUUAAUAUAUUUAUUGCUUAGAACCCGAAAGUAUCUUUAGAGCAAACCACACUUAUAAACAAAGGCAAAGUCAAAGCAUAUCAUAGUAUAGUGUAUUUCCUCCUCCAGAUGCCAUGAUAACUGUGGCAGCUGAACAGUUCCACCGCUAAAGAAGACUCUUGGGACCCCAAAUGGUCAUGAUUGCAAAUCUACAGUUUGUUGGAGAAAAAAAUGGAUGCAACAUAGCAACAGCAUUAAGGAGAAACAUCAUAGUCAAAAGCUGUCUAAUAGUAAGGGAUCUGGAGUGGCCAGUUCCCCAGGUGAUGACUAUGCAGCUUUUUCAUGGACCACAACAUGUUCAUUACAAAGGAUUUAAAACUCAAAUGUAUUGAUGGGUCUGCCGAACUGCUAAAGUGUUACCUGACAAGUUUCCUGAGAGUGAACUCAACAGAGAAAAGAGCAUCUGCAGACAAGAUAUUAACCCAUGAGAACAGCACAACCACUAUCAUGCAGGUAUUUUUUCCUGGCCUAGCCUGCAAUAUCUCAGUUUUGUGAGGACAAUAUUUAUGUAUGCAAAACAAAGAAAUAAGGAAUACACAUAAAUGAUUAUUUUGGCAAAAAGAAUUUGGAAGAUAUUAAUGAGAGGCCCAAGCAGCACCAAGGUGAUAUCCAUGUGUACCUGGUUACUGUAACUAUAAAGUGGAGAGAGGGCUUUAUCCACUUCUACGGGGGUCAUGGGUUGGUGGACAUUGCUCACCAGUGACUCCAGAGAAAAUGACAGGGCUUUGACACCAUAAAUCCUCUAUCAGUAAAGGGUGCAGGACCCGGGAAAAAGGGCAUAGUGCCCAGCAGACAUGGAAGUAUCCAGGAGAGAGUGGCAUCUACUUCUUAGCUGCCUGGAAAUAUUCCUAGACAUGGUGAGAACUCCCUCAGUCCUCCUCCAAUGUGUCUGAUUCCAUCGACUUUCCUGCCACUGUAUGGGAAUAGUUUAGGAGCCAUUCCUCCCCUGAGUGCCUAGUGGGGACCAGGUCACAACACAGCUCACAUACUUAGUAUCUCAUCUGAUCCACCAGGCAGUCCUGUGAGGCAAGUAUUACCCUUAUUUUACAAAUGACAAGAUUGACUCUUACAGCAAUAGAUCUGUUAGAAUUUCCAGGUUGAUUCCUUUAGCUUUUAGUCCCAGAGAUAAUAUGAAUUUUACCUGUCAUCUUAUGUUCUGAUAACAGGAAUUCUGAGUGUCUUUAUUGCCUUUGUAAGCGCACCAAACAGUUCAAUUUCUUAGUAUGUAUUGUAUUCAGCUUUUAUUUAUUUUUCAGUAUGACAAAUAUUUAGUAUUAUAUUUUAGUAUGGGUCUGAGUAUGCAGACCCAGCACUCAUGUUAGAAGACCCAGGAACAUGAUAGAGGACCUAGCAACAGUGCCCACUGACCUGGCUCGACCUAGGGAAGACAUAGGGAUGUGCACAGCAGCAGAGGAAUAUCAUGGAGGUACAUACAAGAGGUGGUAGGACUCAUUUUUGAAUACAGGUGAGACCUAUUCUUGGCUACCCUUCAGGAAUAACCAUUGCCUGCUUUUUAGUGUACAUGCUUUCAGGGUUUUCUUUGCGCAGAAAUGCAUUAUACAAACAUUUACAUUUUUAUAAAUAUUGGCUGAUAACCGUAUACGAGGUUCUGCAAACUGUUCUUUAUUUAUUUAUUUUUUACAAUGUGU